AAACUAGGAAAAUUCUGGAUCUAAAAAAAGAAGUUGAGAAGCACUCUUCUGAAGAAAAGUGUGAGACAGUGCACGGUUUUGCCAGCAGCACCCACGGGAUGGCAAUCACAUGCUGUGAGGAAACAGAGGAAGAAAGAGAGGCACACAGAGGUCACCAGGCAGUAGCGACUCGGCGUCUUGCCGCAGGUACUGGACACCCUCACUUCCUUCCCGAAGGCGGAGUUGACGAAGUCCGGGAUGCAGCGCCGCGGGUU